AGGAAUAUUGGUCAAUGGGCGAGAGCCUGAACCAGCCAAGUAGCGUGAAGGAUGACUGCCCUAUGGGUUGUAAACUUCUUUUAUAAAGGAAUAAAGUCGGGUAUGGAUACCCGUUUGCAUGUACUUUAUGAAUAAGGAUCGGCUAACUCCGUGCCAGCAGCCGCGGUAAUACGGAGGAUCCGAGCGUUAUCCGGAUUUAUUGGGUUUAAAGGGAGCGUAGAUGGAUGUUUAAGUCAGUUGUGAAAGUUUGCGGCUCAACCGUAAAAUUGCAGUUGAUACUGGAUAUCUUGAGUGCAGUUGAGGCAGGCGGAAUUCAUGGUGUAGCGGUGAAAUGCUUAGAUAUCACGAAGAACUCCGAUUGCGAAGGCAGCCUGCUAAGCUGCAACUGACAUUGAGGCUCGAAAGUGUGGGUAUCAAACAGGAUUAGAUACCCUGGUAGUCCACACGGUAAACGAUGAAUACUCGCUGUUUGCGAUAUACUGCAAGCGGCCAAGCGAAAGCGUUAAGUAUUCCACCUGGGGAGUACGCCGGCAACGGUGAAACUCAAAGGAAUUGACGGGGGCCCGCACAAGCGGAGGAACAUGUGGUUUAAUUCGAUGAUACGCGAGGAACCUUACCCGGGCUUAAAUUGCAGAUGAAUUACGGUGAAAGCCGUAAGCCGCAAGGCAUCUGUGAAGGUGCUGCAUGGUUGUCGUCAGCUCGUGCCGUGAGGUGUCGGCUUAAGUGCCAUAACGAGCGCAACCCUUGUUGUCAGUUACUAACAGGUUCCGCUGAGGACUCUGACAAGACUGCCAUCGUAAGAUGUGAGGAAGGUGGGGAUGACGUCAAAUCAGCACGGCCCUUACGUCCGGGGCUACACACGUGUUACAAUGGGGGGUACAGAGGGCCGCUACCACGCGAGUGGAUGCCAAUCCCCAAAACCUCUCUCAGUUCGGACUGGAGUCUGCAACCCGACUCCACGAAGCUGGAUUCGCUAGUAAUCGCGCAUCAGCCACGGCGCGGUGAAUACGUUCCCG
rnacentral:rRNA from 1 species